GACUGUACAAAGGUAGCAUAAUCAUUUGAUUUUUAAUUGAAAUCUAGUAUGAAUGGUUUGAUGAAAAAUAUACUUUCUUUUUUAUAGAAAAAAAACUUAAUUUUUAAGUGAAAAAUCUUAAAUGUAAUUAUAGGACGAGAAGACCCUAUAGAACUUUAUUUUUAUAAUUUUAUAUUGAUUUUAGUAAUAAAAUUCUAUAUAGAAUUUUAUUAAUUUUGUUGGGGUGACAAAAAAAAUUUAUAAACUUUUUUAUAGAAUUUAUCUCAUUUAUUUAUGUUAUGAUCCUUUAUUAAAGAUAAAUAGAUUAAGUUACCUUAGGGAUAACAGCGUUAUUGAUUCAUAGAGUACUUAUCGAUGAAAUUAGUUUGCGACCUCGAUGUUGGAUUAAAAUUAAUGAUAGGGGUAGAUUUUUAUCUUUUUGGUCUGUUCGACCAUUAAUUUUUUACA
rnacentral:rRNA from 1 species